rnacentral:rRNA from 1 species
CCUACGGGAGGCAGCAGUAAGGAAUAUUGGUCAAUGGGCGCAAGCCUGAACCAGCCAUGCCGCGUGCAGGAUGAUGGCCCUCUGGGUUGUAAACUGCUUUUAUACGGGAAGAACAGCAUCUACGUGUAGGUGUUUGACGGUACUGUAAGAAUAAGGACCGGCUAACUUCGUGCCAGCAGCCGCGGUAAUACGAAGGGUCCAAGCGUUAUCCGGAUUUAUUGGGUUUAAAGGGUGCGUAGGCGGCUUUUUAAGUCAGUGGUGAAAGCCUGAUGCUCAACAUCAGAACUGCCAUUGAUACUGAAGAGCUUGAGUACAGUUGAGGUUGGCGGAAUGUGUCAUGUAGCGGUGAAAUGCUUAGAUAUGACACAGAACACCGAUUGCGAAGGCAGCUAGCUAAGCUGUUACUGACGCUGAUGCACGAAAGCGUGGGGAGCAAACAGGAUUAGAUACCCUGGUAGUCCACGCCCUAAACGUUGAUAACUCGUUGUUAGCGAUAUACUGUUAGCGACCAAGCGAAAGCAUUAAGUUAUCCACCUGGAAGUACGGUCGCAAGAUUGAAACUUAAAGGAAAUUAGACGG